rnacentral:rRNA from 1 species
CUGCUGCCUCCCGUAGGAGUCUGGGCCGUGUCUCAGUCCCAGUGUGGCUGGUCGUCCUCUCAGACCAGCUACUGAUCGUUGCUUUGGUGAGCCGUUACCUCACCAACCGGCUAAUCAGUCAUCGGCCGCUCCGCUCGCGAGAGGCCCUUGCGGGUCCCCCUCUUUCUUCCGUAGAACUCAUGCGGUAUUAGCCAACCUUUCGGCUGGUUGUCCCCCCACGAGCGGACACGUUCCCGAUGUAUUACUCACCCGUUCG